UACGUAGGGGGCAAGCGUUGUCCGGAAUCAUUGGGCGUAAAGAGCGCGUAGGCGGCCCUGUAAGUCCGCUGUGAAAGUCAAGGGCUCAACCCUUGGAUGCCGGUGGAUACUGCAGGGCUAGAGUCCGGAAGAGGCGAGUGGAAUUCCUGGUGUAGCGGUGAAAUGCGCAGAUAUCAGGAGGAACACCAAUUGCGAAGGCAGCUCGCUGGGACGUAACUGACGCUGAGACGCGAAAGCGUGGGGAGCAAACAGG
rnacentral:rRNA from 1 species